GGGGAUUCCCGAAUCCCC
rnacentral:misc_RNA from 1 species